GGUGGAUUUCAUGUUGCGCCUUUAUCCCACUUACCAGCGAAUAACUAGCUUAUCAGCCCUUAAGCGCAAAAAGUGGCUCCCACGUCGAAAUUAUUAGCGAAUAAGUCGGCCUUAUCGCGGGGUAAGUUAUGGUCAGGGGGGACCCGCCUUUACGCGGCUAUUAGGCGCAGAAAAAUGGCGACUGUAGUAGCUGUGCUCUCGCUAAACAGGCGAAAUCUUCGUCGAAACAGAAUAUUUAGGGAAAAUUAUAUCUUUACAAUGAUGUAGAAGUGUACACGAAAUUUGAAUUUCGUAGAGUUGAUAAAAUGUCUAUUGUCUAUGAGGUAGAAGAUGAAUUGGAAAUGUCGAAUCGAGGGAACAAUGUUCCCUCAAGCAGACGAGUAUGCUUUGCACUUCGCAACGGGAACAUUUUUACGUGUGUGUGAAUGUGUGUGUGCGGCGAUUUGGUCGGAGUUACCGAAGAGAAAUGUCACAUCGUGAGGAGAGUGACCAAACGCUACUACGACAUGCUCGACGAUGGAUCGUCUUUCCCGACUAGCGAGAGGCAGAGAGAAGGGAAAGUUCUGUGCCAGCGGUGGUUUUUCCGACUGUUGUUGGAUACGUCGACGGGACGCAUAUCCACAUUCAGGCGGCGAAAAUAAUGAGCACCAGUACGUGAAUGGAAAAUAUUUUCAUUCACUGAAUGUUCAGGUUAAUGUUUAUCAACGUGCUUGCAAAGUGGCAUCCAGGGUGUCUGCAGCCUUUGGAAGCAACUGUAGACUAUUGGACCGGGUCAUGCUAGGUGACAGUAGCUGCAUGAUAGGAGAGUGAUUGUUGACACCAUUUCAGCAUCCUGCACCCUUGCAGGAAAGGAAAUACAACACAGCACAUAGCUGUACAUGCAACUGGCAUAGCUAAAAAGAGAUGUAAUUGUCUCUAGGGUCUGAAGAUGGAACCAGAUCAGGCAUGUGAAGUGACUGUGUUCUCAAUCGGGGAGAGCCAGACAAUGAUGGCGACAAUAAUGAUGUUGGACAUAACAAUGAUUUAAAUAAUGAAAAUCACUACAAUAAAAUCAAUGACACUGUUUCAGAACAUGAUGCUCCCA
rnacentral:lncRNA from 1 species